rnacentral:siRNA from 1 species
CUUAAUAAAGAUAUCAGUGCU